rnacentral:rRNA from 1 species
AUGAACGCUAGCGACAGGCUUAACACAUGCAAGUCGAGGGGCAGCACAGGUAGCAAUACCGGGUGGCGACCGGCGCACGGGUGAGUAACGCGUAUGCAACUUACCUAUCAGAGGGGGAUAACCCGGCGAAAGUCGGACUAAUACCGCAUGAAGCAGGGGCCCCGCAUGGGGAUAUUUGCUAAAGAUUCAUCGCUGAUAGAUAGGCAUGCGUUCCAUUAGGCAGUUGGCGGGGUAACGGCCCACCAAACCGACGAUGGAUAGGGGUUCUGAGAGGAAGGUCCCCCACAUUGGUACUGAGACACGGACCAAACUCCUACGGGAGGCAGCAGUGAGGAAUAUUGGUCAAUGGCCGAGAGGCUGAACCAGCCAAGUCGCGUGAGGGAUGAAGGUUCUAUGGAUCGUAAACCUCUUUUAUAAGGGAAUAAAGUGCGGGACGUGUCCCGUUUUGUAUGUACCUUAUGAAUAAGGAUCGGCUAACUCCGUGCCAGCAGCCGCGGUAAUACGGAGGAUCCGAGCGUUAUCCGGAUUUAUUGGGUUUAAAGGGUGCGUAGGCGGCCUUUUAAGUCAGCGGUGAAAGUCUGUGGCUCAACCAUAGAAUUGCCGUUGAAACUGGGGGGCUUGAGUAUGUUUGAGGCAGGCGGAAUGCGUGGUGUAGCGGUGAAAUGCAUAGAUAUCACGCAGAACCCCGAUUGCGAAGGCAGCCUGCCAAGCCAUGACUGACGCUGAUGCACGAAAGCGUGGGGAUCAAACAGGAUUAGAUACCCUGGUAGUCCACGCAGUAAACGAUGAUCACUAGCUGUUUGCGAUACACUGUAAGCGGCACAGCGAAAGCGUUAAGUGAUCCACCUGGGGAGUACGCCGGCAACGGUGAAACUCAAAGGAAUUGACGGGGGCCCGCACAAGCGGAGGAACAUGUGGUUUAAUUCGAUGAUACGCGAGGAACCUUACCCGGGUUUGAACGCAUUCGGACCGAGGUGGAAACACCUUUUCUAGCAAUAGCCGUUUGCGAGGUGCUGCAUGGUUGUCGUCAGCUCGUGCCGUGAGGUGUCGGCUUAAGUGCCAUAACGAGCGCAACCCUUGCCACUAGUUACUAACAGGUAAAGCUGAGGACUCUGGUGGGACUGCCAGCGUAAGCUGCGAGGAAGGCGGGGAUGACGUCAAAUCAGCACGGCCCUUACAUCCGGGGCGACACACGUGUUACAAUGGCGUGGACAAAGGGAAGCCACCUGGCGACAGGGAGCGAAUCCCCAAACCACGUCUCAGUUCGGAUCGGAGUCUACAACCCGACUCCGUGAAGCUGGAUUCGCUAGUAAUCGCGCAUCAGCCAUGGCGCGGUGAAUACGUUCCCGGGCCUUGUACACACCGCCCGUCAAGCCAUGGGAGCCGGGGGUACCUGAAGUCCGUAACCGCGAGGAUCGGCCUAGGGUAAAACUGGUGACUGGGGCU